rnacentral:lncRNA from 1 species
GUUCAUCUUCUUCUCCACUUACCCUCCUCACACCCACCCACGUAUCCCAAAAUCAAAAUCCACCAAAAUUGGAUGCGGUUCUCUGCUCCACUUAAAAAACACAAAGAUGGCUGUUUCAGAAAACCCUAACAUUAGGCCUUCGCCUAAGAAUAAGAUUUGAGCGAGGAAGUUUCUGAUCGUGAAGAAGAAAUCGUAGAAACAGGAAUCGAAUGGUUUCAGGGUUGCUGUGGCUUGUACCAAGUGUGAGACGACAAAUGGGAGAUCGAAGUGUUUGUGUGUGGCCUAUGAGAGUUUGAGGGCUUCUCAAGAAGAAUUUUUCAAAAAUUGUGGUAAAAUAGAUGACGGGGUUGAUUCCAAGAAGUUAAAGGAAUGCGAUAGUAGAGUCGAUGGGAAGGAGAAUGAAAUCAAUUCCUUGAAUCAAAAUACAGAGUUUGCACAUGGAUCCGAGGUGAUAUCCUUGAGAUUAACAGGGAAAAUGAAGAGAAUUUGAAUGGGAAUGUGGUGAAUGGUGAAAUGGGUAUGAAGAGAAUGAGGGCUAAAUUGUUGGAAGAGGCAAGAAAGAGCGUGCCGAAUCCUGGGGCUGGAUUAAAUGGGCAUUGCUUGGAUUGCAAAAACCACCUGAGGUUUCAGAAAUACAGGUUUUGGGAUGGAUGGGUGGGUGG